rnacentral:rRNA from 1 species
AGAGUUUGAUCCUGGCUCAGAACGAACGCUGGCGGCAGGCUUAACACAUGCAAGUUGAACGGGAUUAAUUUAGUGCUUGCACUAAAUUAUGAGAGUAGCGCACGGGUGAGUAAUACAUGGGAACCUAUCCUGAAGUGGGGGACAACAGUUGGAAACGACUGCUAAUACCGCAUACGCCCCGAGGGGGAAAGAUUUAUCGCUUUAGGCAGGGCCCAUGGCAGAUUAGGCAGUUGGUGAGGUAACGGCUCACCAAACCGACGAUCUGUAGCUGGUCUGAGAGGACGAUCAGCCACACUGGAACUGAGACACGGUCCAGACUCCUACGGGAGGCAGCAGUGAGGAAUAUUGGGCAAUGGAGGCAACUCUGACCCAGCCAUGCCGCGUGAGUGAAGAAGGUUUUCGGAUUGUAAAGCUCUUUCGGAUGUGACGAUGAUGACGGUAGCAUCUAAAGAAGCCCCGGCUAACUUCGUGCCAGCAGCCGCGGUAAUACGAAGGGGGCGAGCGUUGUUCGGAAUUACUGGGCGUAAAGGGUGUGUAGGCGGUUAUGUAAGAUAGCGGUGAAAUCCCGGGGCUUAACCUCGGAAUAGCCGUUAUAACUAUGUAGCUAGAGUUAUGGAGAGGAUAGCGGAAUACCCAGUGUAGAGGUGAAAUUCGUAGAUAUUGGGUAGAACACCGGUGGCGAAGGCGGCUAUCUGGCCAUAUACUGACGCUGAGGCACGAAAGCAUGGGGAUCAAACAGGAUUAGAUACCCUGGUAGUCCAUGCUGUAAACGAUGAAUGCUGGUUGUCGGCUUUAGGGUCGGUGACGAAGUUAACGCGAUAAGCAUUCCGCCUGGGGAGUACGGUCGCAAGAUUAAAACUCAAAGGAAUUGACGGGGACCCG